rnacentral:rRNA from 1 species
UACGAAGGGGGCUAGCGUUGCUCGGAAUCACUGGGCGUAAAGGGCUCGUAGGCGGCCAACUAAGUCAUACGUGAAAUCCCUCAGCUUAACUGGGGAACUGCGUGUGAUACUGGAUGGCUUGGAUUUGGGAGAGGGAUGCGGAAUUCCAGGUGUAGCGGUAGAAAAUGCGUAGAUAUCUGGAGGAACACCGGUGGCGAAGGCGGCGAUCCUGGACCAAUAUUGACGCUGAGGAGCGAAAGCCAGGGGAGCAAACGGG